GAUGAACGCUGGCGGCGUGCCUAAUACAUGCAAGUCGAGCGAACAGACCAGGAGCUUGCUCCUCUGACGUUAGCGGCGGACGGGAGAGUAACACGUGGAUAACCUACCUAUAAGACUGUGAUAACUUCGGGAAACCGGAGCUAAUACCGGAUAAUAUAUUGAACCGCAUUGUGCAAUAGUGAAAGACGGUUUUGCUGUCACUUAUAGAUGGAUCCGCGCCGGAUUAGCUAGUUGGUAAGGUAACGGCUUACCAAGGCAACGAUGCGUAGCCGACCUGAGAGCGAGAUCGGCCACCCUGGCACUGAGACACGGCAGAGACUCCUACGGGAGGACGCAGUAGGGAAUCUUACGCGAUGGGCGAGAGCCUGACGGAGCAACGUCGCGUGAGUGAUGAAGGUCCUCGGAUCGUAAAGCGCUGUUAUUAGGGAAGAACAAAUGUGUAAGUAACUAUGAACGUCUUGACGGUACCUAAUCAGAAAGCCACGGCUAACUACGUG
rnacentral:rRNA from 1 species